GAAGAGAUGAGGAUUAGUAUGUUUUCCUUUUCAUUUUCAUUUGCAGGUAUAAUCCCCUGAAGAUGAAGGUGGGUUUCUCCACCUGUGGUUCAAGUGCUAAUCUAGGACUCACAAGAGAAGGGUCCAAUGUCCUGCUGUGCUGCAGACUUCUGGAGCAAGCAUUGUGAUAUUUCAUUUCACCAUCUCUGAAAAAGGCAUAAUUUCAUCUGCAUUGUAGAGAUUUUAUUCAGUUCUAGAAAAAAUAUUUCCUUGUAAAACAUCCAGCAAAUACUUGAAAGCAUACAAUGUUCCUGCUUACUGAAGGGAGGCAACAGAGAGAUUACUCAAAGGAGAACCAGAAAUAAUAACAUAUAAUGGGGAAAAUUCCUGCUACUGUAGUUCAAGAGAAAAUAGUCACCUUCAAAAGAUAAUUAAGAACUUUGGGGGACUGAAAUCACCUUCAAGGGACACUCUGGGAUAUUCAGUUUAUCAAAUUGGCCAUCUCAAUUAGGUAACCUCUUACCUCUGAAAGAAUGAAAGAGACAGAAGUAUUACACGUGCAUUACAGAAAAUGGCUUCAGCCACUAAUCCAACAAUGCUGGAAGACCUGUGGGACAGUAAGACUCUCAGCUCCAUCCUUCAUUUAUACUCUGUUGGCUUUUCUGUGAGCAGUGCCUGGCAAGGACAUCACUUCUGAAGCAGAGCUCCUGCAGCAUCGCUCCUGCCUUGAAUAGCAGAGUGGUUUAUCUUUGUUUUUGAGGUUCUUCUGAUGUUUCCAUAGUCCAGAAGGCUUUGGGUGUCAUUUCAGUGCACUGGGUAUAAUUUCUAUGCAGCUGUAAUCACAGUUCUGGGAAGCUCUGGGACCCAGCAGAGUGGGAUUUUGCUUCCAUUCCCAGCCUUUUUUCCUAAUGAGAAGAUUUUUGUUUACCUGCUGGUGAUGGAAUGAAAGAUUCAAAGCAGUAGUUGCUUUUGUUUUGGGCUUACAGUAGGUUUAUCCAUCUCUCAAAGAUUAAGAUAGGAAAAGGUAGUUAUGGUAGUGGUGGUAGUAGUAGUAAUACUAAUAAUAAUGACAGUAAGAAUAACAACAACAACAACAAUAAUCACAAUGAUAAUAGUAGUAGUAGUAGUAGUAGCAAUAGCAAAUAAUAAUGAUGAAGUGAAGCCAGUGAGUUUUGCAUGCACUGAGAGGAAAAGGACAGUAGCUGUCACUGCUGUUAAGAAUAAUUUAUAUAUUGUCUAUUUUUGAUUUCUCCUUCUGGGGUUAUAAGUGUUGACAAGUUAACAUCAGGGCAAAGGUACAUUGGGCUGUCAGGUUUCUAUUUUCUGCUUCUUGCUCUUCCACAAAGUGCUACAGAGAUUGAUUGAUUUGAUUUUAAAGAGUUCGGUUACAUCACAGUGACACAGUCUUCAAUAUGAAUUAAAAGAAUAAAAUUGUUUGUGUAACUUGUUUUUGUGUUGACAGGAUCUUUGCACUCCAGGCAAUCACUUUGUUUUCCUUACAGCUUUGUUCUUUAGCCACCCAAAUGUGGAAUGUCACUCAACCUUGUCAUAUUUUUUUCCUUGAUGUUCUUUAUUAGUCCCUAUCAUUCUUUUCAGGAAUCUAACAAAUGUGGAUAGCCUUUGUUAGUCAGUUGCUCUGUGUUUUUGCCAUUUUAAGCUUCUUCUCCCAAUACUAUGAUAACAGAGUUUCUUAGUGGACAUGACCGUUACUUCAUAAGAUACCAGUUAAGCCUUUGAGUGAUCACUAGUGUGAUCAUCUAAUUAAAUUUCUGUAGACAUCCAAAUGAAAAUUACAUAUUUGAACCCACAGUUCAUAGUCAACCACAGUUAACUUUUAACACAGCUCUAAAUUUUUUGAGGGAAUUAGGAAGUGAUAAUACAAUUAGGGGUCUUGCUGAGCUUCAGCUCUUUCUGAAAAUGAGAUCUAAAUGUUUUCAGAAUAAAAUUAGGUAAUCAUCCAAAAUUCUGAGCAUCUUUCUUGCACUGGACUGUCCCACUGAACCUUUCCAGUCUCAUCUCUUGCACAUACAUUUUUAAUCUCUGUUUUACUACAUCUUCUAUACUCACUUUAGUAUGACAUUCAUAUGUGCAUUGGCUGUAAUUUUAAUAUCUACAGCAAGCUGAGAUGAAAUAUCAAAAGGAGCACAGAAGUAAAAGGAUAUAAUCCAGACCUGAAGACAUCAUAAACCAAAGGUUUUCAGGCAAAUUAUGUAUGAUUCAGGAAGGCUCAGUCAUGAUGUGAUGACAUAGAUUAAAUUUCUGAAAAUGGUCAGGAAAAAGUUCUGUGGAAGAAAAAAUUACAGGGUUACAUAGAAACAGAAGUAUUAGGCAAGUAUUGCUGUUUUGGUUUGUUUAGUAUUUUUUUUCUCUGGAACUGAAAGGCUGCUCAUAUGUAAAAGAAACUGGAUUGUGAAGUCAU